UUUUUUUUUUUUUUUUUUUGAGAAAAGACAUACAAUUCUGUGUCAGUGUGCUCACAUGAUCUAUAACCAAGGAGUUUAGCAUAUCAAGUAUUUCCUCCUCACCUCUAACAUUUGCAACAUUCAGGCUUACAGUAACAUUGUAGGGACGAAGAUAUACUUAUCAAUUCUACUAAACAACUUACCAAAAAAAGCGGGGGUGGGGAGUAGUGAGAGUGUGAUCGCACAAAGCUGGCAGUGCUCAGAGCCUUGACUUUUAGUUACUGGACAAACAUAAAAGUGAUCUUUUUUUAAUCUACAAAAUUUUUUCCAUCCAAUAUACACAAUGAUAUCCAUAUGGAUAUUACUGUUAAAGUAUAUAAUCAGAUAAGUAAAUAAAAAAGAAGCAUUCUGCCAAGUUCAAAGAAAAUAUAUUCUAGAGAUUGGAGAAUAUUACAAGUAAUAGUUCCUCUAAUAUUUUAUAAAGACAAAGAGAAGAGCUGAAGCAUCUGACUAUUGAAAGUUGUUGAUGAAAAAGCUCUGAGGUAUGUGUUGCAACUCGGUAAUAACUCAGAUUCCCUAGAAAAUCAUUCUUUUCCUCCUUCCACUUUAUCCUAAAGAUCUGAUUCUUCUGUUUCAUGCAUUUAAUAAGAUAAGCAUCCCUUCCAAAGGAAAACAAGCUGACCUUAAAAAUUCCAGACUUGGAAUCAAUCUCUACUGAAAGGAGUCACUGCUGUCUCUCAGACCAAAAGUAGAACGUGAAAUCCAUACUGGCUCAUUAAAAUCCUAGACUUCUUCAGGCCCAUCUGUAAAUGAUGACAAGUAGUAAUCACUGUGAUUGCAAUAUGUAUUUAAUGCUUUCGUGUUUCGACACAUGCAUACAUGUAGCAUGGUUUAGAGAGUUUGGAACUAUUUUGAGAUUGUUUUGAGCUCUUAAGAUUUCAGAUCUGUGUCAUGGUUUCUAUUACAUGAUGUAAUUGAAAUGGGUGAUAAUCUAGGUAAGAGAGGAGAAACUGCUAUUGUGACUUUUCCCCCACUGUGGGCUUUCUGGGUUUCAGCAGCCCAACACUCUCUGUCCCCAAUGUGAUAUCCAAAGAUACUGAACAUAAGCCGAAUCACUAUCUAGUGUUAACACCCAGAGAUGAUUCAACCAGCAAAUGUUUCCUUCUGGGAAGCCUCUGAGGAUCCCAAUUACUCUGAAUCAAGAGAGAAGUCAGUCAGGCUUGAAGUAAGGGGCUUGCAUUUAAAAUCAGCAGAGAGGGAAAAGUGUGAUGAACGGAUAAGUUUCUUGGCUUGUCAGAGCUGCUGAAAAGUAUUACUGUCAAGCUUACCACCUCCCUUCUGGCCCUCCUUCUCCUUGAAGAUAUCGAUAGGAAAUGCAGUCAGAUCCAUUCUUCCUCGUCUUCCUGCAAGAGCAUGAGGUUGCUUACUGACAUUCUCAAAAUUUCCAUCUCAGAAGUUACUUUUUUCAGGCACAAAUUCUGUAGAAUCCCCUACAUCUCCCCUUAUUCAAAAACCCAAGAGGUGCUUCUCAGGGAGAAGAAAAGAAGGAAUGUCUACAGCUGUGUUUGCUGCCAAAGGACUUAAUGAAAGAUUGCAGGCGCCACAUCCUCUUUAAUUGAGUUUCAGUUUGUUUCACACAUGGGAGUCUGGUUGUCACAAGGGAGUUAUAAACGGACACAAUGUCCUUCGUGGCUAUGGAGUUCAGUGUAGUGGAGUAUGAGAAGAGAGAGCAUUAUUCACGGAUAUUGUCCAUGCCUCUUUAGAAGGGGUCAGAUGGCAGGAGUCCUUGAAGAGCGAAGCACUGGAGCUGUGCCUCCAGGAUGAAUUCCAGAGUCUGGCUAGCCAAGUCCUACUCAUUCUUUAAACAUCUGCUCCCCUAGUGGUUGCAGUAAAAAAGUAUAUGGACUUUCUGAGUAGAGAAUUUCUUCUCUGGCUUCUGAGACCAGCUAUCUGUCUGUAUCUUUAACAUAUAUAGAUAUCUUUGGUCAAGUAGCUUUAUAUUAUGUUCUGUGUGGUUUUUUUAAUUUUAAAAAAUUUAACUAUGAUUUAAAAAAACCCCACAUAACAUAGGAUUUAUCAUUUUAACCAUUUUUAAGUGUAUGGUUCAAAAGUGUUAAAUAUAUGCACAUCGCUGUGCAACAGAUCUCUAUAACUUCUUCAUCUGGCAAAACUGAAACUUGACACCCACUGAGCAACAACUCUUUUUCUCCCUACCUCCACCACAGGCAACCACCAUUCUGCUUUCUGUCCUAUGAGUCUGACUAUUUUAGAUACCUCAGAUAAGUGGAAUCAUACAGUAUUUUAUCUCUAAUUUGUGUUUUUGUUCAAGUUGAUAUGUGGCUAACACUGGCUUAGGAUUAAUUCGACAAAAACGAGUUAUUCUGCAUUAGCAGUAAGAGUAAGUCCUAAAACAAAAGUUUCAGCCCUCAUGAGGCUUGUAAUCUAGCAAAUAUAUUUGAACAGUCUCUGCAAAAAUGUAAUAUACACCGUAACAGAGAUGUGUGCAUAAUAUUGCUUCAAUUAAUCAUCUUCAUUGUUUACAUCAUAUUGCCAAAUCAGAAAAUUUCUCUUGCAUUUCCAUUUCCUCACUUCAUGAAGACUGAGAUCGUAUUUAAAUCUAUUAAAAGUCUGAGAUUACUUUUAAAUUUCCACACUUUUUGCAUUGAUAAUAUAGUAUCCUAAGUCCUAAAGUUUGUCACUUUUUAUUCCUGGGGUAUCACAGUGAAAAGCUCCCCCACCCUCACCAUACAAUUUUUUUUUCUCCUUUCUCUACUAACUCUGUAGUUCUCUAUUAUAUCUGAUUUUGUACAAGCAUUCUUUUUCAUCCUUUUAAGAUUUCAUGUCUUCCACCUGGCAUUCUUCCCUACUUUGUGAUAUGUAAAUUUUUUAGAAAUCCAUAUUUUUGGCAUUAAAAGCUACUAUUUGAUAGGUUUUUCCUUGAAACACCACAGAGUCAUUUUCACUUUGAGUGUCUGCAUUUAAAAAAAAAAAAAAAAAAAAAAAACUCUUCCAAAAGAAUAAUCUUUACAUUUAGAUGAAAAGUUCACCUGCACCCAUAAUUUCUACUCGGGUUUCAAAAUCAUAGAAUUGAGCUUCUUGAAGGGACCGUAAAUACCAUGGAUAUCAAUGCUCCCAUUUUGAAAAUAAUGAAAAUAAAGCCUGCAGUAGGAAAUGACUUGUCCAAGGUCAAAGUCACUGAAGAUACAUUCCAGGGGUUCCUCUGGCUCAACCAUUUGUUCUCACUUGAAUCAAAAAAGUGGGUGGCAAAUGGUGGGUUUGAUGAGUCUUGGGAGGCACAGCAUCACCCUUGGAGAAGUGCUCUGGGAAAAUAAUAAACUUCUCAAUCAGUUUUGUCAAUCUGCAUAAAGACUCUUCUAUAAGUGCACUCACAUCUUCCUCCUAAGAUCUGUGAUAAGAUACCUUGAAUUUAUUAGUGCCUAUAAAUCCUUCUUAGUAAGAUGUGGCUCAUGGGAAGCAGCUGCUUCAUCAGUCACUAUAGGAAAAGACAUACAAUGGCUUUAUUUUAGGUAAUAUAGUUUUUUUCCUCCCUAUUGUCUGUGUUAUGUCCAUUCUCUAAAUCUCUUUUACCAUUCAUUUAUUCAUUCUUCAUUCAUUCAUUCCACAAGAGAUCACUGAGCUUCUAAUGCGUGCCAGCCAUUUUAUUUGGCACUCAGUAUGAAAUAAUGAAUAAGAUAGAAUUCAUCUCUGUCUUCAUAUCUCUGCUUUCAGAACUGUUCAGUAAGAUUGUUAUUUGGUCUUCCAUGUUUAUUGUUUCUUCUAGGAGAUGUGAAAGAUACUUUUCUUUUUAAAUAAAUGUGAAGGUAGAGAAAUAAUCCUCAAUAUUCCUUUUUUACUAUGCCCAUGUAUUAUUAGGGAAUCUCAUGAAAGGAAACAAUGUGAUAGAGACCUUGUAAGGCACUGAAACAAUAAGUUCCUUGUCCAUAUUGCAUGUGGAACCAAGGUUCCCUACCCUUAAAAUAUGAGUGUGAUCUGUUUCCUUUUUCCCUAGAUGUGUUCACUUGCUAUGCAUUCAAUAAUCCAUAAAUUAGUUCCAUAGUCUAUAGAUAUUAACACAUCUAUCUAAUUAAACACUAGGUAUCCGUAGUGCUUAAAACAGUGCCUAGAACAUAGUAAAUACUCAAUAAACAUUCUAAAAUAAGUGAAAGAAAAAUGAAUUAACAAGCUUCAGAAAAGUACUGGUUGUAUGAUGGCCAGUCAUUUUCUUUCUCAUUCCUACAACUGACAUUAACCUGAAAAAGGUUAGUAAGCAUUAAUCUGCAUGAACCUUGCUGUAUUUAUAGCCUCAUUAAGGAAAAAUUGUUUUAUGGAGUCUUUCCUACAAUAUUUGGUAAUGUUCCCACCUCCCCACCCCCAGCCUCUUGCUUCCUUUACUCAGCCUCUUUCCUGGAAGUGAUUGCCACCUAGAAGUCCUGACAUGUGCCCCACCUAAUGGAGCCCACCUAGAGACAUCUCAGCAAGGCUUGCUUUGGGGUGGGGCGGGGGUUGGAAUUAAGCAAGGAAGGUUUUCCAGUAUAUAGCUACUACCCACUAUCUAGUGCAUAGUCCCACUUUGUGCUUUAUUUCUUUGCCUGGGUGAUGGACCAGUUUCAAAAAGGUAUGAGGCAGUGAAUAAAAAAUGCAUUGGAUUAAUUUUUUUCAUUUAGUAAUUACAGCACUGCAGCAAACAGAGUUGGGUCUGAGUGAAUGUUGACAUCUAAUUUUCAGGUUUUGAAUUGCUUGGAGAAAAGCAGAUCUCUCUGUUUUUAUCUAACUUUUCACUGUGAGGUAAUUAUGCAGAACAGAGUAUGUUCCUGGGCAAUGUUUAACACAGGCAGGUCAUAACAAGACAGAAAGUGGACCUGUGCUUUUAGGAUAGGAAUAAUUAAAGGCUCAUAAUUUUGGAGGAGCAGUGAUGAUGUCAUUUAAUAGACACUUAUAGGGAAUUGCAUGCUUGAAAGGCAUGUGUUUUACUAUUUUAGAUCAUCCAUAAACCAUCAACAUAAUUUGGAAGCAAAGCCUCUUUUUGUAACUCCUUGUCUCAUUGUUGGGGGUGCAUUCUAUUUCCAUUAGCAAGAUUGUACUUUAUGGGCAUUCCGUUUAUUUUGUUUAUUUGCAGAUGUAUACAUGCAUAUAUGUCAGUAUGUUGUUUUCUCUCAGGUUCCAAGUGAACCAAGAAAUUGGGAAAAUGGGAAUAUAAAUGGAAACUAGCAUGGGAUCGGAAUUUUAGGGGUGCAAGAGAGUUUAAAAUCAUAUUUUCAUUCCUUUUUUAUAUAUUGCAAAUAGCCAAAAUGCACAGUCUUCUCCCUCAGUGACUGCCAUCACUGAAGAUAACUAGCCACAGUUCAAGGAUCCUCAGGGUCACUCUCAUUUUAGACCAGCUGGUUAAAGUUCAGGGGUUCAUAUGACCAAACUCAUGUCUAGAAAUUUGCUAGAAUGACUCACAGAACUCUGAAAAGUGUUAUACUUAUGAUUGCAGCUUUUAUUAGAGUAAGAAAAAAUUAAGUUAGAACCACCUAAAGGAAGAAAUGUUUGGAGAGGAAUCUAGGAGAAUCUAGGAGAUUUCAAAAUGUCAAAUUUCCCUAGUCCUCAUGAUGCCGUCCCAGCAUCAAUGCAUGGCAAUACAUGGAGUAUUGCAGCCAAGGAAGUUCACUUGAGCUCUGGUGUCCAGAGUUUUUAUUGGGCUUUCAUUAUAUAGGCAUAAUUAAAUGAAUUAUUGCUUACAUAGUUGAACUCAUUCUGUGGCCUCCCACCUAUAUCCCCUGAGCAUCAACCCUUCAAUCACAUAACUGGUCAUUCUGGAGUUACUAGCUAUCACCGUGGGCCAUCUCCUUAGCAUAAACUAUCUAGGGACUCUCUUUGAGUCACCCUUGUUAUCAUAAAAACAGGUGUGGUUAAGGGGUCCACCAGCAAUAACAAAGACCCAUUUAUCACUUGGGAAAUUACAUGGGUUUAGAGGCUGUCUCCCAGGAGCUAUGAUAAUGGCUAGAUCUCUCUUUAGCUAAGAACAGAUACAAAGCAUACACUCACAGCCCAGGCUGCUAAUUUUGUUUAAAGAAGUUCAAAUACAUUAGAGGAAAGAACUGAAUAUCAGGAGAAUAUUUCCUGGCACCUUGUCCAGAAAUUUUUUCUUCACUACCCCAAAUGUUUACUGGAUAUGAAAUCUACUCUAUAUCAGCUGUUAUAGUAAAAAAUAUCUUGAAAAAAUACACAAUGUAUAGGGCAAUAGAGGGGCAGUUAUUGAGUUUAGACCUGAAGGUUUAAUUUACAUACCAUGACCUUCUUCAAGUGAGGGCAGGAAUUUCAUAAAUUAGGACAAAUUUCUUAUUAAGAUAAAGGGGAAAAAAGUAGAGAGGACGUUCUGUACAAUACUUAAGAACUUAAGAGGAAUAACCCAGGACUGCAUCUUUUGGUUGGAGAAUUGAAAAAAAGGAUGGUGGGGAAAAUUAGAGAAGUCCAUUGCUUUAAUGAAACUAGGAAGAUAUUGAGCAACAGUAGUUGAAGAUAAACUAAAAAGUAACAUAUUCUGCUUAUCUAAUUAUUAAUAAAAUAAUCUAAAAAUAUACUAGAG
rnacentral:lncRNA from 1 species